AUUGAACGCUGGCGGCAUGCUUUACACAUGCAAGUCGAACGGCAGCACGGGCUUCGGCCUGGUGGCGAGUGGCGAACGGGUGAGUAAUGCAUCGGAACGUACCGUGUAGUGGGGGAUAACGUAGCGAAAGUUACGCUAAUACCGCAUACGCCCCGAGGGGGAAAGUGGGGGACCGCAAGGCCUCACGCUAUAUGAGCGGCCGAUGUCGGAUUAGCUAGUUGGUAGGGUAAAGGCCUACCAAGGCGACGAUCCGUAGCGGGUCUGAGAGGAUGAUCCGCCACACUGGGACUGAGACACGGCCCAGACUCCUACGGGAGGCAGCAGUGGGGAAUUUUGGACAAUGGGCGCAAGCCUGAUCCAGCCAUGCCGCGUGAGUGAAGAAGGCCUCGGUUGUAAG
rnacentral:rRNA from 1 species